rnacentral:rRNA from 1 species
CCUACGGGAGGCAGCAGUGGGGAAUUUUGCGCAAUGCUCGUAAGAGUGACGCAGCGACGCCGCGUGAAUGACGAAGGCCUUCUGGUCGUUAAGCUCUUUCUGCAGGGAAGAAAAUCCAGAUAAGUAACUCUGUUUGUAUUGACGGUACCUGUAUAAGCAGCCCCGGCUAACUCCGUGCCAGCAGCCGCGGUAAUACGGAGGGGGCGAGCGCUGAUCGGAGUGAUUGGGAGUAAAGGGCACGUAGGCGGUGUGGUAAGUCAUUAGUCAAAGACUAGAGCUCAACUUUAGUAAGGCUAGUGAUACUAUAAUGCUAGAGUAUCAGAGAGGAUUGCAGAAUGCCUGGUGUAGCGGUGAAAUGCGUAGAUAUCAGGAGGAAUACCGUUGGCGAAGGCGGCUAACUGGC